CCCGCUGAACUUAAGCAUAUCAGUAAGCGGAGGAAAAGAAAACAACCGUGAUUCCCUUAGUAGCUGCGAGCGAAACGGGAAAAGCUCAAAACCGAAUCUGGCGGAUUUGAAUAUUCGUCCGAAAUGUGGUUUACGGACUUGCUCUAGAACUGCUGCACCGCCUUAAUUUUGUUGGAACACAGAGCCAUAGAGGGUGAUAGCCCCGUGAAGGCGCUGGCGCAGGUGUUUAUACGAGCUUGUUCCUAGAGUCACACUGUUUGAGAGUACAGUGUAAAGUGGCAGGUGAGUACCUGUUAAAGCUAAAUAUUUGUUGGAGUCCGAUAGCAUACAAGUACCGUGAGGGAAAGUUGCAAAGAACUUUGAAAAGAGAGUUAAAAGAACCUGAAAUCGGUAACGUGGAAGGAUUCGGGACCUUGCGGCCUCUGUAAAUUCAUCUGUCAGUUCUGAAAUCAAGGAUGCCGCCGAACAGUUUUUUUAUUGUCGGCGGUAUUCGGAAAUUUGGAACUGGCGGCUCCACUUUUGCAUGCCGGACAGUAGCGGUUACCGCUGUUUGAACGGGGUGUUAGGAGGGUGGCUUCAAACAUUAAACCGUUAUGAAGUCCGAAACCCGACAUCUUCCGCGCAGCGGUGACUGCAAAAAAUUCAGCGCCUUUUUGGCUGGUUUCCGCAAUUCUCGGCGGCCGCUAUAUCAGGGAAACAAGGUUAAACUUGUCUCUCUGGUGUACGCGGUCACCUUAGGAUUGCGGACCAUGCUGGAUUUUUUUGUCUAAGUCAAGGUACUCGAAUCUCCCGUCUUGAAACACGG
rnacentral:rRNA from 1 species